CUGGCGCGGGGCCAGGAGCAACAAGUGGAGGAGGCGGACGGUGCUCAGAGAGGAGACCAGGAGGGCUGAGCUUCAAAAUGGACUCUCGGACCAUUUCUGUUUGGAAACGUCUUGUUUCAAUAAUACCACAAAAAGGCUGGUGUUGUUUUCCCCAGAUGUGCAUCAUCUCAGGUGCAAAUGUUGCUAGGGAUGGAGUUGCUGAGACCGAAGGGAAGGUGGGGCAUGUUGUUAAAAGUGUAAUGCCUUCCCUGUCCAGGGCUCACCUGGCUGGUUGUGAGCCGGUGUGUUUUUGCUCUGAGGCCUUGGGAGCAACUGGCUCUGUGGGAGGUUCCAUCAAGACACAAAGCAGAGACUGCCAAGGUGGGCUGGUGACCCCUGACCCCGCCCUCCUCAGCAGGCUUUACAGGGGGAGCAGGGGUGCGGGCUGGGAGCCUAACAAAUGAUCCCACCAUGCAUGUGUGUAUUAUUUGUGUUGCAUCAACGUAUUUCAGGUUUUAAUGUACUGUGUGUGUGUAGGACGGGGAGUGUUUGAGUGCAUUUGGCACAUGCAUAAUUUAUUAAAUGUGUUUUGGCCAGGGAGUUUGUAUGGGAUGUGGUUUAUAUACACAGUAAUAUUGAUGAAUGGGGCCGAGAGGAAAGGCCAUUUGUCUGUGUUUUGUAAGUCCUUCAUACGUGAUCCAUGAAGUCCUCAGGACUUAACAUUGGAGGGAAAGAAACUGUGGGAAAUAACAGAACAUCAAUGUGUCUAUUCUGUUUUUUGGAGCUUUAAUUCGUUGCAUACCAAAACAAUUCCAGUAAACAUGUAAUCGUGCCCUUGCUGUAAUUUUCAUUCAUUUCGACAUCAUUCUGUUGUUCAGCACCCAGGCUCUGGAACUCCCUCCCCCCACACAUAAAACAGUCAGACACCAUUACAACCUUCAAGUCACAACUCAAAACUCACCUGUUCAAACUCGCACACAACGUCUAACUGUUC
ensembl:lncRNA